AACCUUUGCAAUGUGCGAAAGCACGACAAGGUUAAUCCGAGUGUCUCCUGCUAAAGGAGUCUUUUGCCGGUCAUAGAACCACCGGUGAAUAAGGGGUGGGCAAGUUCUGGUGUCAGCCGCCGCGGUAAAACCAGCACCUCGAGUGGUCAGGAGGUUUAUUGGGCCUAAAGCAUCCGUAGCCGGCUGCUCAAGUUUUCGGUUAAAUCUAUGCGCUUAACGUAUAGGCCGCCGAAAAUACUGGGCAGCUAGGGAGUGGGAGAGGUACACGGUACUCAAUAGGAAGGGGUAAAAUCCUUUGAUCUAUUGAUGACCACCUGUGGCGAAGGCGGUGUACCAGAACACGUUCGACGGUGAGGGAUGAAAGCUGGGGGAGCAAACCGG
rnacentral:rRNA from 1 species